rnacentral:rRNA from 1 species
AGAGGGUGCAAGCGUUAAUCGGAAUUACUGGGCGUAAAGAGUGCGUAGGUGGUUAUUUAAGUCGGAUGUGAAAAGCCUGGGCUUAACCUGGGUCUGUCAUUCGAGACUGGAUAGCUAGAGUACAGUAGAGGAAAGUGGAAUUUCCGGUGUAGCGGUGAAAUGCGUAGAUAUCGGAAGGAACACCAGUGGCGAAGGCGGCUUUCUGGACUGAUACUGACACUGAGGCACGAAAGCGUGGGGAGCAAACAGGGAUUAGAUACCCUGGUAGUCCACGCCGUAAACGAUGAGAACUAACCCGUUUGGGGGUUUAACCCCCCUGAGUGGUGAAGCUAACGCGAUAAGUUCUCCGCCUGGGGAGUACGGCCGCAAGGUUA